rnacentral:snoRNA from 1 species
CAAACAAAUGUCCUUAAUAAAUUCAAUGAGGUGGCUAAAGAGAUUAAGAAUAUUAAACCCUAAUUUAGGAAAUAGGGUUGUCCAUCAUCAGGAUGACUUUGUGCUAGAAGCAUGGGAACAGCC